rnacentral:rRNA from 1 species
UCCUACGGGAGGCAGCAGUGAGGAAUAUUGGUCAAUGGGCGUGAGCCUGAACCAGCCAAGUCGCGUGAAGGAAGACUGUCCUAUGGAUUGUAAACUUCUUUUAUACAGGAAUAAAGUGAGUCACGUGUGACUUUUUGCAUGUACUGUAUGAAUAAGGAUCGGCUAACUCCGUGCCAGCAGCCGCGGUAAUA